rnacentral:rRNA from 1 species
GACGAACGCUGGCGGCGUGCUUAACACAUGCAAGUCGAGCGAUGAAGUUUCUUCGGAAAUGGAUUAGCGGCGAACGGGUGAGGAACACGUGAAGAAUCUGCCCUCCACUUUGGGAUAACACAGGGAAACCUGUGCUAAUACCGAAUAUUGAAACAUAAGUGGCAUCACUGAGUUUUGAAAGAACUUCGGUGGAGGAUGACUUCGCGGCCUAUCAGCUAGUUAGUGAGGUAAUGGCUCACCAAGGCAACGACGGGUAGCCGGCCUGAGAGGGCGACCGGCCAACCUGGGACUGAGACGCGGCCCAGACUCCUACGGGAGGCAGCAGUGGGGAAUAUUGGGCAAUGGAGGAAACUCUGACCCAGCGACGCCGCGUGCGGGAUGAAGGCCUUCGGGUUGUAAACCGCUUUCAGUAGGGAAGAAGCGAAAGUGACGGUACCUACAAAAGUAGCACCGGCUAACUAUGUGCCAGCAGCCGCCGUAA